GCGCCCAGGAAGAGACAAACGACAUGCUCUCUGGCAAUCAGUAAAGACUGUUCAUUCUGCACUGGUGCCGGCCCAGCAGAAUCACCUCCAAAAGCUGAGCCCCCAGCCCUGGCGCUGGCCUACUUUAUGCCUGGCCAGCUUCUGGGAACUUGGAAACUUUCCAUCGGCUGCACAGGAGCACUGCCCAUACCUGGAAUGAAACUGCCUCCCAGAGGACUUUACACCACCACAGCCAGACCCCAUUGCCACACAGACUCUGGGAUACAAAGACCACUCCCUCACUCCUACUGCCUCCUGCUGGAACCCUAGGUCUCCUCAUGAGAGUAUUUCUUUAUCACUUCCAAAAGGGUGACCCAUCUAAGGCUCUGAUUUGUGAAAUCCUGACCUACAAUGGCGCCAAAAUGAUUCUUGAAAGCCGACUGUAAGAAUGGAGUGGUGAAGGUGACUCACUUGUUAGCAAGAUGGCAAUAAAUAUCCCAGUAAGAUCUGGAGGCCAGAAGUCUGAAAUAGAGGCGUUGGUAAAAUUAUGCUCUCUCCAAGGACUCUCGAGGAGGAUCCUUCCUUGCCCCUUCCAGGAAAACAGCAUGUGCAGUGAUUGUGCAACGUAAACAAAAUGCUGUCGUGGGCCCAGGACGCAGUGCAUCAACUGUCACACUGAUCGGUCAGAUGGUUUCAGAUGUUUAAGAGUCAAAAAAUAAGAAGGGGACAGCAACAGCCCUAAACUUGGAAUAUGGCAACUAUGCACAUUUUAUGUUGGUGUGGAAACGUGACUGGAUUGGUAUUAUCUGUGAUGACAUAGUUGCUGAAGGGUUUUCGGCCUUCUCCGUGUUCUGAAAAGAAAUAAUUCAGAUGAAAGGAAAAAAGAAGUGAUGCCAAGUUAUAAAAAUGGUAAGCUGAGUUGGGUAUUUCAUGUUUACCCUCUGACGUGUUCAUCCUUCUCUGCUCUACUAUGUGCCCAGGAAAGUUGCAACCUAUAGAUUUUGCCAUCUAUGUUCUCUAGCUUACUGUUAACCUUUAAGAGAUACUAACCUUGGGGCGCCUGGGUGGCUCAGUUAGUUAAGCAUCUGACUUUGGCUCAGGUCAUGAUCUCACUGUUAGUGAGUUAGAGCCCUGCAUCAGGUUCUGUGCUGACAGCUCAGAGCCUGGAGCCUGCUUGGGAUUCUGUGUCUCCCUCUCUCUCUGCCCCUCCCCUGCUCGUGUUGUGUCUCUGCCUCUCAAAAAUAAAUAAACAUUGAAAUAAAAAAAAGAGAUACUAACUUUGACACUUCUCAUGACUUCUCCUACAUUUGGUACCUGAGUUCUCAACGUAAUAUAUAUUAAUUUCCUCAUUAAAGAGUUAGAACUAAAGAGACAUCUUUGGCAGUGUUUUAGUAAGGGCCUGUUAGAAAACAGAAAACAAAGUCUUUAGAAUUUUGAGACAGGUCCUUCAAUAUGUGUUUUGUUCCAUUUAAAUACAUGUUUUUAAGAAUGAAGCAACAAAGGAGAAGGAAAAAUGAAAGAUUUAAGGAAGACAUGUUAGAUAGGUCCAGGGGAAUCAUGUGCUAUGGUUAUAACCAAGAUACAUUCCCAGCUCACUUAAAAAAGGAAGCAUCGAUAAAAGGGACUAUUAAUAGAAGUGUUGGCAGUGUUUGGUAAAAUAUGUCUUAUUAAGGUGAAAGACAUAUUUUAGUGUAAUGAUUCUUGAGAUCUUGAUGGUCACUAGGAAAAAUGAAAACAGAUAAUGGGAACCUUAAAUUUCGGUUAAGAAGAUUGACCUCAAUGUUACAGAUAAUGAAUAUUUAAUUUAAGUUGUUGAACAGGGAAAUGAAAAGGUAUUCUGAGGGCUAUUCAUCUGGUGACAUUUUGUAGGCAGAAUGAAUAGAAAGGGUAACCGGGUAGAUAAGCUAGCAGACUGUGGAAUUUGGCAGCAUAUAGUACAGCACAGUGGAAAGGACUCUGAACUAGAACCUGAUAAAUGAAGAUAAGAGGGUCUGUGUGGAACACUUCAUAAGAUGGUUGCAACCAUUAAAUAGAAUACUGUGUGAAAAUGCUUUGACAAUUGUAAAAUGUUGCGCAGUAUGUUACUGUUUACCCUCUAUUAAGUUUGAUAUCUGGUGGCACUGGAGUAGCAUGGUGGCAAUAAAAGUAGAUAAGAAGGUAUGGAUUGGAAUGUUUCCAAGUAGGAAUAAUUGAUAAAACAUAGUGACAUUGAAUAUGGAGAUAACAAAGAAGAAGUGAAUGCUGUUACCAUGUUUGGAUCAAUGCCUGAGGCAAUAACGUGCUAAAAGAAAUGUAAAUGGAGGAAAGAGGCUGACUUUGCUGAAAAUGUUCCUUUCAGUUUAGAAAUACAGCACUCAAUGUAGACAUGCAAAAUUUUAACUAAAGGAAUAGGUUUAGCCCAGUUAUAUCUAGAGAACGUAGAGGCAUUUUGAUUAAUACUUAUUGAGAAUCUAUGAUAUACAAGAUAUUGUGGUACAUGAUUGUAUGAGUUAUCUCUUGCCAUAAUUCUCUAAAACCAACCACCUCAAAAUUCAGGGGUUUAGAACAGUCAUUCAUUUAGCUCCUAAAUCUGUAGAUUGUCUGAGUAGCUCUUUUAAUAUGGGUGGGGCUCACUCAUAUAUUUGCAAUUGGCUACAGAGCAACCUCUGUUGACCUUGACUGGACUCUCAUAUUUCUAGCAAUUAAAUGGUUGUUGCCUAGUCUAAGGUGGCCGUAGCCAGGACAACUGGGGAGACACAUCUUUGCUCCAUGUGAUUCACCCUUCAGCAGCCUAGUCUGGGCAUGUCCUUAUGGCAAAGCUGCAUGGACAAAAUCAAUCAAGUAGAAAGUCAUGCAGCCUCUUGAGACCUAGGCUUAGAACUGGCACAGUGAGUCCUAUAUUUUAUUGGCCAAAGUAUAUUAAAGAUCAGUCCAAAGUCAAAGGGAGGGAAAUAAACCCUGUCUCAUCAAUAAGAAGCAUUAAAUCACAUGAAAAUGGUGUAAAUAGAGGGGAGACUGAAGAAAUUAGACCGUUAAUGAAAUAAAUCUGCCACAGUGAUGUUAUUUAUUAAUUAAUUAAUUAAUUUACAGAAAAUAUUCUUUGAGUGUCUACUCUAGGUACUAGGAUAAAGCAAUAAACAGAAGAGAAAAGAUCUUUGCUUAAUAGAGUUUAUAUGUUAGUAAUUAAACUCAGUAAAAAAAUAAACAACAAAAUGUCAGUAAUAAAUGCUGUAAGAUAUACAACAGAUUAGUAUGACAGAAAGUGAGUGAGUGGUAUGUUAGAUCAGAUGGUUUUCUGAGGCGCUGGUAUUUGAACGAAUGCAAGAAUUAAAAGAAGAAG